UAGGGAAUCUUCCACAAUGGGCGCAAGCCUGAUGGAGCAACACCGCGUGAGUGAAGAAGGGUUUCGGCUCGUAAAACUCUGUUGUUGAAGAAGAACGUGCAUGAGAGUAACUGUUCAUGCAGUGACGGUAUUCAACCAGGAAGUCACGGCUAACUACGUGCCAG
rnacentral:rRNA from 1 species